rnacentral:rRNA from 1 species
GACGAACGCUGGCGGCGUGCCUAAUACUUGCAAGUCGAGCGAAGCGGCGGAUGGGUGAGUAACGAGUGGGUAACCUGCCCUCAAGUAUGGGAAUCCAUUUGGAAACAGAUGCUAAUACCGGAUACUAACGAAUGGGCCUGCGCUGCAUUGGAUAGUUGGUAAGGUAACGGCUUACCAAGGCGAUGAUGCAUAGCCGAGUUGAGAGACUGAUCGGCCACAUUGUGACUGAGACACGGCCCAAACUCCUACGGGAGGCAGCAGUAGGGAAUCUUCCACAAUGGACGAAAGUCUGAUGGAGCAACGCCGCGUGAGUGAAGAAGGUUUUCGGAUCGUAAAGCUCUGUUGUUGGUGAAGCGGUAAUCAACCAGAAAGUCACGGCUAACUACGUGCCAGCAGCCGCGGUAAUAC